GACGAACGCUGGCGGCGUGCUUAACACAUGCAAGUCGAACGGAAAGGCCCUGCUUUUGUGGGGUGCUCGAGUGGCGAACGGGUGAGUAACACGUGAGUAACCUGCCCUUGACUUUGGGAUAACUUCAGGAAACUGGGGCUAAUACCGGAUAGGAGCUCCUGCUGCAUGGUGGGGGUUGGAAAGUUUCGGCGGUUGGGGAUGGACUCGCGGCUUAUCAGCUUGUUGGUGGGGUAGUGGCUUACCAAGGCUUUGACGGGUAGCCGGCCUGAGAGGGUGACCGGCCACAUUGGGCCUGAGAUACGGCCCAGCCUCCUACGGGAGGCAGCAGUGGGGAAUAUUGCACAAUGGGCGGAAGCCUGAUGCAGCAACGCCGCGUGCGGGAUGACGGCCUUCGGGUUGUAAACCGCUUUCGCCUGUGACGAAGCGUGAGUGACGGUAAUGGGUAAAGAAGCACCGGCUAACUCCGUG
rnacentral:rRNA from 1 species